UACGGGGGGAGCAAGCGAUGUUCGGAUUUACUGGGCGUAAAGGGCGCGUAGGCGGCGCAACAAGUCACUUGUGAAAUCUCCGGGCUUAACUCGGAACGGUCAAGUGAUACUGUUGUGCUAGAGUGCGGAAGGGGCAACUGGAAUUCUCGGUGUAGCGGUGAAAUGCGUAGAUAUCAAGAGGAACACCUGAGGUGAAGACGGGUUGCUGGGCUGACACUGACGCUGAGGCGCGAAAGCCAGGGGAGCAAACGGG
rnacentral:rRNA from 1 species